UACGGAGGGUGCGAGCGUUGUCCGGAAUUACUGGGCGUAAAGGGCUCGUAGGCGGCCAACUAAGUCGGAUGUGAAAUCCCCAGGCUCAACCUGGGAACUGCAUCCGAUACUGGAUGGCUUGAAUUCGGGAGAGGGAUGCAGAAUUCCAGGUGUAGCGGUGAAAUGCGUAGAUAUCUGGAGGAAUACCGGUGGCGAAGGCGGCAUCCUGGACCGACAUUGACGCUGAGGAGCGAAAGCCAGGGGAGCAAACGGG
rnacentral:rRNA from 1 species